GAUGAACGCUGGCGGCGUGCUUAAUACAUGCAAGUCGAACGGACAGACCCUGCUUUUGUUGGGUGCUCGUUAGCCGCAGGCGUGUGAGACACGCGUGUAUCCUCUCCCUGUCUUUCUGGUAACAUCAGGAAAAUCCGGCUCAUAUCCGGUAUAAUCUCCUGCAGCGUGGUGGUGGUUAGAAAGAUUCGGCGGUUCGGGCUGGUCUCGCGGGUUAUCCACUUGAUUGUGGGGUAGUGGAUUACCAAGGCUUUGACGGCUAGCCGGCAUGAGAGGGUGACCGGCGACAUUGGGACUGAGAGAGGGCGCAGACGGCUACGGGAGGCAGAGGGGGAGAAUAUGGCACAAUGGGCGGAAGCCUGAUGCAGCAACGCCGCGUGCGGGAUGACGUCCUUCGGGCGGUAAACCGCUUUGGAAUGUGACGAAGCGGGAGUGACGGUAACGGGUAAAGAAGCACCGGCUAACUACGUG
rnacentral:rRNA from 1 species